rnacentral:rRNA from 1 species
GUUGAACGCUGGCGGCAUGCCUUACACAUGCAAGUCGAACGGCAGCGCGGACUUCGGUCUGGCGGCGAGUAGCGAACGGGUGAGUAAUGUAUCGGAACGUACCAUUCAGUGGGGGAUAACGCAGCGAAAGUUGCGCUAAUACCGCAUAUUCUGUGCGCAGGAAAGCAGGGGAUCGCAAGACCUUGCGCUGAUUGAGCGGCCGAUAUCAGAUUAGCUAGUUGGUGAGGUAAAGGCUCACCAAGGCGACGAUCUGUAGCGGGUCUGAGAGGAUGAUCCGCAACACUGGAACUGAGACACGGUCCAGACUCCGACGGGAGGCAGCAGUGGGGAAUUUUGGACAAUGGGCGCAAGCCUGAUCCAGCCAUGCCGCGUGAGUGAAGAAGGCCUUCGGGUUGUAAAGCUCUUUCGGCCGGGAAGAAAUCGUAUGGGUUAAUACCCUGUGCGGAUGACGGUACCGGCAUAAGAAGCACCGGCUAACUACGUGCCAGCAGCCGCCGUAACAC